rnacentral:lncRNA from 1 species
AUAGGUGCAAAUCUAGCUAUGGUAGCUUUAUUGAACUUGAUGCUAAAUUAUUGACUAAAAGGUUGAAAGUAAGGACUCUUGAUAGUAAUGCUCUUUUUGGCAAAUUUAUGCUAUCCAACCAACUCCACCAAAAAGCCUUGCAUAUCCUUGAGAGUCUUUUAUUUUCUCUCCUGUCGGGUAAGUCUAGCUAAGUACAUUCGAGUACUCAGGGUUUAUCCCACCAUGUUGCAGGUGAAGUUUUCAAUCUGGUAAAGAUGGUGGCUAACCGCCGGCGGGCUCGGUGAUUCUAUAUAGUGUUCUCAUCUACAUGCUUUUGUCGAAGGAUGUCACUUAUGCUAGCAAAGUAUUUAUAACUUAUGUUAUUGUAAUCAUUUGAAAGCUAUGUUGUUUUCUAAUCGAUUUGGAACAUCCAAACUUGUACUAUUAUUUGUAACUCUUUUGUAAUAUUAUUUCCGCUGCAAUUCUCCUUGUAUGUGAUGUGUAUUUUCUUAAUCAUGCGAUCUUGGUGUAAAGUUGAUUUACCGAGGUCCUUCGUGACACUCGGCAGACUACCGGGUUUAUAUAAGUGAGAGUAUGCGCGUGUCAACGUGUUAAACGGGGACAGUCGUACUUAAACUUGUAUAAAUUGGGCGGUUCUGUCACAUCCUGUGCCCUGUCGAAAUACUGUUCGCACGAGGCAAGUGCUAUUGCUGACAGCAUGUACCUACGAUACUCUAGGAGGAUUAGUACGUCUUCACUGCCCGUCAGCAAUCUCAACAGACUAUAUCAACAUUCAGCUUGGGGGAGAGUAACCCACGUACACUAAGUUAAGUAUCUCUUACUCAGUUAUCUAUUUAUUCCUAGUGCGUUAUGACAAGAUAAAAAGAUGAAUAAUCGUAGAAACCCAAUAAAUGCUUUAUCUUUCAUAACUAAUUGUGCUACGAGAGCUCUUGAUGAAUCUGUUAAGAUAAACCUCUAGAAUUAACUCUUAUAUGGAGAUGAUGAAUAGUUGCUCUACCGUAAUUCCUUGCAAGUACCUAGUUUUCAACCUUGUACUCUCUUGAGUUUUAGGCACAACUGUUUAGACUUGAGAUUUUCUUUGAGCCUAAAACUUGUGGGUAGCAAAUGCUUGAUCUAAGUCUAGGUAGUUAACGGAUAUGAUAUGUGAAGGUUUUGAGCUGCUAUCAAUCUUGCUCCUAGAGAUGCUAGAAUUCUAGAGAAUUUUAUUUUGAAAAGCUUAAAAUUGCUACAUGAUGAGUUCCUUUAUGACGAGAGUUUUAAAAUUCCUACCACAACCAAUUACUCAUGCUUACUAGAUUAGAAAAACCUCCACUUAUGUUUCAACCCAUAAGCCUUGAGAGUAGUUAAGCUGUGUAGACCCUAUGGAACUAAUCAUGCAGUUAAAGUCAAUAUUAUGUGCUCUCCAUAUAUUGAUAUUAGCUACUUCUGUCCUCAGAAGAAUGCAACCAUUUUCAUCCACCACAUUCACUAUGUGCUACUUCUGUUCCUAGAAGUACCACCCAUAUAUACACACUAUACUCUGUGUUGUUUUUAUCCUUGAGACAUGCACUUAUGCUGCUCCUACCCUGAGAGUACGCAUUCCUCUAUUCAUCACCCACACACAUUCCACAACCGCUUAGAAAAUGUUCUACUCCUACACUGGGAGAAGACACCCAAAAAUAUUCAAUAUCUUAUUCUACUUAUUAUCCAAUAAAGCUCUAGUUAUCCGAGUUGAUACUCCCUACUGUUAUCAUUGCAUUAAAAGGGAUGGCUAAUCUCUAAAAAAAGAGAGAGAAAAAAGAAAGAAAGAAAGAAAGAAAGAAAGAAAGAAAGAAAGAAAGAAUGGGGACAGAAGUCCCAAUGCAAAAAAAGAAAGGCAGCCAAAUCCUUGUUCUCAGAUUAGGGAAGUAUGUUAUCCCUAAGGAGCAAAUAUAGAACUAGAUAUUCACCAUCAGUUAUCAACCCUCGUAACCAUUUUCAUUCUUAUCAAUUCAUUUCACUUCACUCACAAGCACAUUGUUGGGUAUUUUAAACGCAAACAGAAAAAUCCACAAGCGCACGGAUACCGAUGUAGCUUUCACCCGGGAGUAUUCCAGAGUAUCGAUUUUCCACAGAGAACGUGAGUGUGCUAAUUAAGAUCCAAGAUCGCCCAAGGAUAACUAUAUAAUUAUUUUUGGUGGGAAGAGAGGAAGUUUCCUAAGAGUUCUCUAGUUGAUCUAAGAAUCAAGAAUUACUUCAAGAUUAUCUAUUUCGGGACAUCAGAACACUAACCACAGAAAGAGAUGAGAAGGGGGCUAGGAAGCUCCGACUACGGUCCUACAAACACCGAUCCGAACGAGGUGGAAUACGUCGACCGCUAGGGCUGUCACUACCCUAGGGCUACCACAACAAUCCGCAGGAUUGGGUGCAAUUCCAGGUAAUUGCAAGACUAAACACCACGUCUAAUCUAUUAAUUACUACUCUAAUGUUUCAAAGAUUAGAGCACUUGCUGCAAGCAGGAAUCCAAUAAAUAACUUGAAUGUAAAUAAAAGUAAUUAAAGAACUCAGGAAUUGUAAGUUGAAGAACCUGGAGAACGAUGAAGAACGAACCAGUUGCUGCAAAAGUACAAUGUUGAGGAAGAUCCGACAGAUCCGGCUCCUUCUCCGCUCUCCUCUUCUCUCUCCCUAUUUUCUAGAUUACAACUAGAACUAACUAGAACUAGAACUAGAGGAACUAGAACUAGAACUAGAUGAACUAGAACUAGAACUAGAAGAAUUAGAGGUAGAACUAGAAGAACUAGAGGGAUCCUCUCUACUUGGAUAAAGAAUUGAAACCCUAACUUUGAUUCUGUAGAAGAGGUAGGCUCUCCAGGGCCAGGGGGCCUUGCUUAUAUAGUCUUUUCAGAUGAAUCUGGGCCGUCGGAUCAAACCGACAUUAAUCGCACGGUUUUCCUUGGUCCCUUAGGUCGGUGGAGCACGAUCCGCGAAGUUGAAGCUGAUUGGUUACUGUAGCUGGGCGGGCACCCAAGGGACUUGGGCGGGCGCCCUACCUCCGGGCCCGAUCGGCCUCCCGUUCGUUCCUGUGGCUUCUGGAGUCUUCUAGAUGGUAGAAAAUUGCGCGGCACGUUAAUAUCUCUAUGUAAACCUGACGUGUGGGCCUUUCUUUCAUAUUUCCUGAUAACCCCCUGCAGAAAUAGACAAACACCAAAACUCGUGGAAUUCUGUCAGAUAAAACCCUAAGUCUAGGUGUUGGUUGCAUU